rnacentral:rRNA from 1 species
AUUGGAGGAAAGUAGGGGAUCGCAAGACCUCGCGCUAUAGGAGUGGCCGAUGUCGGAUUAGCUAGUUGGCGGGGUAACAGCCCACCAAGGCUACGAUCCGUAGCUGGUCUGAGAGGAUGAUCAGCCACACUGGGACUGAGACACGGCCCAGACUCCUACGGGAGGCAGCAGUGGGGAACUUUGGACAAUGGGCGCAAGCCUGAUCCAGCCAUGCCGCGUGAGUGAAGAAGGCCUUCGGGUUGUAAAGCUCUUUCGGCCGGGACGAAAUCGCACCUUCUAACACAGGGUGUGGAUGACGGUACCGGAAGAAGAAGGACCGGCUAACUACGUGCCAGCAGCCGCGGUAAUACGUAGGGUGCGAGCGUUAAUCGGAAUUACUGGGCGUAAAGCGUGCGCAGGCGGUUUUGUAAGACAGACGUGAAAUCCCCGGGCUUAACCUGGGAACU